AAAUUGUUGUUAUUGGUGGAGCUAAAUAAAUCCAGUGGUUCCACAUUAAUCAACCCUGCUAAUUCAGGGGAACCCCUAACGUAAAGCCGAGGGCAAUCCUGAGCCGAAUAUUGAUUUAUGGGUGCAACGACCAAGACUGAUGAGUGUAAGUCUGUAGGAGUCAAGUGACUUCGAAACGUAGGGCUAUGGGUAAUCCCAUAGAAGAUAUGGUCUGUGCUGUAUGGAAACAUACAG
rnacentral:ncRNA from 1 species